GGGUUGUGAGGUUAAGCGACUAAGCGUACACGGUGGAUGCCCUGGCAGUCAGAGGCGAUGAAGGACGUGCUAAUCUGCGAAAAGCGUCGGUAAGGUGAUAUGAACCGUUAUAGCCGGCGAUGUCCGAAUGGGGAAACCCAGUG
rnacentral:rRNA from 4 species